UGAGGAAUAUUGGUCAAUGGGCGGAAGCCUGAACCAGCCAAGUCGCGUGAGGGAAGACGGUCCUAUGGAUUGUAAACCUCUUUUGCAGGGGAGCAAGGAGCGGUACGUGUACCACGUUGGAGAGUACCCUGAGAAAAAGCAUCGGCUAACUCCGUGCCAGCAGCCGCGGUAAUACGGAGGAUGCGAGCGUUAUCCGGGUAUUUAUUAGGGUUUAAAGGGUGCGUAGGCGGACUGGUAAGUCAAGCGGGUAAAAACUGCGGUGCUCAACGCCGUAGUGCCGUUGAAACUGCCGGUCUUGAGUGAGCGAGAAGUAUGCGGAAUGCGUGGUGUAGCGGUGAAAUGCAUAGAUAUCACGCAGAACUCCGAUUGCGAAGGCAGCAUACCGGCGCUCAACUGACGCUGAGGCACGAAAGCGUGGGGAUCGAACAGGAUUAGAUACCC
rnacentral:rRNA from 1 species